UGUGACUGCGUACCUUUUGUAUAAUGGGUCAGCGACUUAUAUUCAGUGGCAAGGUUAACCAUCUAGGGGAGCCGUAGGGAAACCGAGUCUUAACUGGGCGUUCAGUCUCUGGAUAUAGACCCGAAACCAGGUGAUCUAGCCAUGGGCAGGUUGAAGGUUGAGUAACAUCAACUGGAGGACCGAACCGACUAAUGUUGAAAAAUUAGCGGAUGACUUGUGGCUAGGGGUGAAAGGCCAAUCAAACCUGGAGAUAGCUGGU
rnacentral:rRNA from 1 species